CGCCUACCUGUUGUGGAGGUCCAUCUUGGCGUUGUAGUAGUAGGUUUAGGAGUUAUGUGAGUCCGACCAAUGCUGACAUCACUACCAUCG